rnacentral:rRNA from 1 species
GACAGAGGGGGCAAGCGUUGCUCGGAAUUACUGGGCGUAAAGGGCGCGUAGGCGGGAUGGCAAGUCGGUCGUGAAAUCCCUCGGCUCAACCGAGGAACGUCGAUCGAUACUGCUGUUCUUGAGGAUUGCAGAGGAGACUGGAAUUCCCGGUGUAGCGGUGAAAUGCGUAGAUAUCGGGAGGAACAUCAGUGGCGAAGGCGGCUGCCUGGCCCAAUACUGACACUCAGGUGCGACAGCGUGGGGAGCAAACAGG